UGGGGAAUAUUGCACAAUGGGCGCAAGCCUGAUGCAGCGACGCCGCGUGGGGGAUGACGGCCUUCGGGUUGUAAACUCCUUUCGCUAGGGACGAAGCUUUUUGUGACGGUACCUAGAUAAGAAGCACCGGCUAACUACGUGCCAGCAGCCGCGGUAAUACGUAGGGUGCGAGCGUUGUCCGGAAUUACUGGGCGUAAAGGGCUCGUAGGUGGUUUGUCGCGUCGUCUGUGAAAUUCCGGGGCUUAACUCCGGGCGUGCAGGCGAUACGGGCAUAACUUGAGUACUGUAGGGGUAACUGGAAUUCCUGGUGUAGCGGUGAAAUGCGCAGAUAUCAGGAGGAACACCGAUGGCGAAGGCAGGUUACUGGGCAGUUACUGACGCUGGGGAGCGAAAGCAUGGGUAGCGAACAGG
rnacentral:rRNA from 1 species